rnacentral:rRNA from 1 species
AUGGCGCCCUCGCCGCCAAGUGCGACAUGCAUUCACCGCCACCGUCCAUUCUUCCGACUUCUAGUCCUCGUGCUCGCAGGAAUCCGGCCCGCCUCGUCGCAGUUCAUCUUCACGCCGCCGACGGCCGGCGCGACCUUCGCUUGGGCGUCAACCCCGCCCCCGCCCCCGCCGCCAGCUGCCGGGGGACUUGGCAGCGGGACCUUCAACGUUGCCACCUCGCUCCUCUUUGUGGGUGUAAUCGUGGCCCUCUUCUUGGUCGGCUUCUUCUCUGCGUACCUCCGCCGCUGUGCGGACGCCGCCACGGGCGCGCGCCGAGGUGGGGCCACCGCGAACGCCAACGCAGCCGUCGCGGCCGCUGCGGCAGCCGCAUUCUCGUCCGCGGUUAGCCGUAGCAGGAGGCGUCCCGGGCUCGACGUCGCUGCGAUGGAAGCGCUGCCGGUGCUAACGUACGCGAGGGCGAGGGCGGUCAAGGCCGGCCGCGGGGCUCUGGAGUGCGCGGUGUGCCUCGCCGAGUUCGCCGACGACGGGGAGAAGCUCCGUCUCCUCCCCGGGUGCCGCCACGUCUUCCACGCGGCGUGCAUCGACGUGUGGCUCGCGGCACACGUCACCUGCCCAGUGUGCCGAGCCGACUUGGCCGACCCGGCCGUCGCCGCGGCCGGCCACGUCCUAGCCGCUGACCUCGCUGCUCAGGUAGAAACGUCCAACGACACGGUGAUCAACGUCGAGGCUUUGGAUCCAGCACCAGUUGAAGAUUCCACGUCUGAUCAGCAGCAGGCAGAGACGGCGGAGGAGCGCGUGGAUCGGUUCACGCUGCGGCUGCCGGAGAGGCUGAGGAGGGAGAUCGAGGAGGCGAAGCGGCUCCGCAGAGCGAUGAGCGCGGUGACCACCGCGGCAGCGGCAAGCACGUCAAGCGGGCGGUGGGUGCCGUCGGCGUUACGGACAAUGUCGGCAGCGCGUCCUAGCGGUCGAUGGUCGGCGUUGUUCCGCGCGUUGUCGGGACCGCACCGAAGUGAGCUGGGCGGCAGCAGCCGGAGGGUGGCGCCGCUGCAAACUCACGCCGCCAGCGAUGACGCGGUGGAGGUGGUGCUGGUGCAGGAUGACGCCGGGCAAGAGGAGAAGUACUAUGCACACAGCCUCACGUUCGCCGGGUUCGUCAUUGACGGUGACGUCGCAGCUGGCGACUGGAACCCGGAGGUCUUCCAGAUCUCUUCUGCCGUCCCGGUGGCGGCGACGUCCCAGCGGUGA